UACGUAGGGUGCAAGCGUUGUCCGGAAUUAUUGGGCGUAAAGAGCUCGUAGGCGGUUUGUUGCGUCGGCUGUGAAAUCCCGAGGCUCAACCUCGGGUCUGCAGUCGAUACGAGCAAACUAGAGUGUUGCAGGGGAGACUGGAAUUCCUGGUGUAGCGGUGAAAUGCGCAGAUAUCAGGAGGAACACCGGUGGUCGAAGGCGGGUCUCUGGGCAACAACUGACGCUGAGGAGCGAAAGCGUGGGGAGCGAACAGG
rnacentral:rRNA from 1 species